GACGAACGCUGGCGGCGUGCUUAACACAUGCAAGUCGAACGAUGACGACCGAGCUUGCUCGGUCUGAUUAGUGGCGAACGGGUGAGUAACACGUGAGCAACCUGCCCUUCACUCUGGGAUAACCUCGGGAAAUCGGGGCUAAUACCGGAUAUGAGCUCCUGUCGCAUGGCGGGUGUUGGAAAGUUUUUCGGUGAUGGAUGGGCUCGCGGCCUAUCAGUUUGUUGGUGAGGUAGUGGCUCACCAAGGCGAUGACGGGUAGCCGGCCUGAGAGGGCGACCGGCCACACUGGGACUGAGACACGGCCCAGACUCCUACGGGAGGCAGCAGUGGGGAAUAUUGCACAAUGGGCGAAAGCCUGAUGCAGCGACGCCGCGUGAGGGAUGACGGCCUUCGGGUUGUAAACCUCUUUCAGCAGGGAAGAAGCGAAAGUGACGGUACCUGCAGAAGAAGCGCCGGCUAACUACGUG
rnacentral:rRNA from 1 species